CUAAAACGCGCUCCCGUACAGAAAUUCAUCGGACCAGUUGUGCCAAAUGUGCAGAUCAUGCGCGGUACUGGGCGUGGCUAAACGCGUGCUUGCGCCGCGUGAAAACACCUAAAAGCGCAUUCUCUCGAACGUUAUACGAUUUUGUUUGUCCGGGUAGCAUCCUCUUAACAUAACUAGUCGAAAUAAUGCUUCAAUUUCAAACUUCGGGGGUGGUACCCGAUGGAAAAGUGAAUAUCCUUGGCGCAUUAUAAGAUCCACCGAACCGAUUUGGAUAAAAAUAUCAGGGCAUAUUAAGAUUGAUAUUGAUAUGGUUUCUGUGAAGUUUGAAAACUGUGCGAUAAGUGGUUCCGGAGUUAUGGCCUCUUAAAUGCACAAAAAAAAAAUUUAAAAUGUCGGUAACCAUGGUAACAAUUUUAACAAAAAAAUAAAUAAAUUAUAAGUACUGAUUAUUAUUAUUAUUUUAUUUUUGGUAACCAUGUUAACAAUUUGUUAUUAUUAUUAUUUAUUUUCUCCGUUCAUUGUAACAUUUUUCACUGAUGAUUCGCUCCUAUUGGUUGCAGGAGAAGGUUCUUAUGUAAUACAAUUUUAGUAAAAUCCACCAAAAAAGUACGGAAUCUGGAUGUAGUAAAACAACAACAAUGACGUGUCACUGUGUCUAGCAAGAAAAUAAACUAUAUUUUUGUUUAUUGUAAAGUCGCUAUUGGUUAAAGACUAGAAAUCGACUGGAAAUUUCAGCAGCCUUGAGAAUUAGCUUAACAAACUCUAUAAAGCAAGAAUUGACGAAAUAAUAUUAAACCAACAACAACAAUCAAGCCAUUAAAAACCUUAAUUUUAUUAUUAUAUUUAUAAAUCAUUAUUUUUUAAUCUAAAUUAAAAUAAAAUAUUUAGUAUGCAUACAUAUUGUGGUAGGUACAACAAAUUAUCGUUUCUUUUUAUAAAAAAUAAUUGAAAUAAUGUAUGUAUUAUUUGUAUUUAUUAUUUAUUUAUAUUUGUAUUAUAUUUAUUAUUUAUAGUA